rnacentral:rRNA from 1 species
UACAGAGGGUGCGAGCGUUAAUCGGAAUUACUGGGCGUAAAGCGUGCGCAGGCGGUUUUGUAAGACAGGCGUGAAAUCCCCGGGCUUAACCUGGGAACUGCGUUUGUGACUGCAAGGCUAGAGUACGGCAGAGGGGGGUGGAAUUCCACGUGUAGCAGUGAAAUGCGUAGAGAUGUGGAGGAACACCAAUGGCGAAGGCAGCCCCCUGGGUCGAUACUGACGCUCAUGCACGAAAGCGUGGGUAGCAAACAGG